UAUACGCUCACAACUCCACA
rnacentral:siRNA from 1 species